rnacentral:rRNA from 1 species
GUUUAACAAAAACAUGUCUUUUUGAGUAUAAUUUAAAGUCAGACCUGCCCAAUGAAUAAAAUUUAAAUGGCCGCGGUAUAUUGACUGUGCAAAGGUAGCAUAAUCAUUAGUUUUUUAAUUGAAAGCUGGAAUGAAAGGUUAAAUGAAAAAAUUACUGUCUCUAUUUAAAUUUAUUAGAAUUUUAUUUUUAAGUAAAAAAGCUUAAAUUUUUAUAAAAGACGAGAAGACCCUAUAGAGUUUAAUAUUUAUUUAUAUUUUAAAUUUAGAAUUUUAUUUUAAAAUUUUAUUAUAGUAUUUGAUUGGGGUGAUAGAAAAAUUAAUUAAACUUUUUUUUUUAUAAUUACAUUUAUUUAUGAAAAAUUGAUCCUUUAAUAAAGAUUAAAAGAUAAAAUUACCUUAGGGAUAACAGCGUAAUUUUUUUUAAGAGUUCAAAUCGAAAAGAAAGAUUGCGACCUCGAUGUUGGAUUAAAA